rnacentral:lncRNA from 1 species
UGAUAGUCAGGCUGCUGUUCAUAUUGCUAACAAUCCUGUUUUUCAUGAACGUACCAAACAUAUCGAGGUGGACUGUCAUUUUGUUCGGGACUUGCUGCUAUCUGGUUUUCUCAAGUUGCUUCAUGUUCCUACCUCUCGUCAGUUGGCCGACCUGCUUACUAAGCCACUGCCUGGUACUAUGCUUCUUCCGCUGCUCACCAAGUUGCAGGUGGUUUCCCCCUCCAACUUGAGAGGGGGUGUUGAGAUGAAGGAAAUUACAUGAUUAUGUACAGUGUAUACACAAUGUAUAUUUAUUGUAUAAACUGGUAUACAAUAGUAUGGGCUGUGAUGAUUAUGUGUUGUUGGGCCAUUUGUAUGUAACCGAGCCCAAUUACUGUCUGAGCCUCAUUUCAUUUUACUCUUUGGGUCAUUCGACCCGACCCACGUGUACCUGUAUAUAUUGGGGUCCUCAGAUAUUUUGGGACCCCUGGACUUCAUUUUAUUUCUGUUCUUCGUUUAAUAAAAUCUCGAAACUGGUAUACAAUAGUAUGGGUUGUGAUGAUUAUGUGUUGUUGGGCCAUUUGUAUGUAACCGAGCCCAAUUACUGUUUGAGCCCCAUUUCAUUUUACUCUUUGGGUCAUUCGACCCGACCCACGUGUACCUGUAUAUAUUGGGGUCCUCAGAUAUUUUGGGACCCCU